rnacentral:lncRNA from 1 species
GAAAAAAGUUCUUUUAUACGAAAUCAUGUGGGUGAAACUUGAAAGUUGUAAGGCGCUACAGAGUUUAAAGAAUCUUUCAUUCAAUUAAAAAAAAAUGGAUGAGAAGUAGCCUAACUCUGGCGGGAAAGAAGAAACAGCAGCCUGGGGUUGAUGAACUUCUGUCCUUGUUCAAGGACGCCUUGCACAGCUGCGGGUCGUCUCAAAUUCUCUUGGGCACAAGGCUACCCACGUGGGAACUACAACUCCCAGCCUCCCUUUCGGGUCUAUGUGGUCAUGUGAUCACGAGGGACCAAUGGGAUGUGAGCAGGAGGGCUUUGCUCAACUCAGGCCUAAGGCGAACCACCUGCUCCCGUCGUUGGCCUUUUUCCUUCCCAAAAGGCUAGAAAGCAGACGUGGUAGCAAAGUCCACUGUGUUGGCUGUGGCCAGCAUCCAGGGGGUGAGGGAACAACAGAACGGAAGAACCCUGGGUCCCCGGUGACGCCAUGGAGGGGAGCCCGGAGCCCUCACACAGCCAGGACUACCGGCCACGGGACUGCACGGUGCCAAUCAACUUCCAAAGCUGGUUCUUAACCCAGGAUUCCAAGCUGCAGAGAAAUUUGCCCAGAAAACCUCAAAAAUGUUUCUCUGCAACCCUCACCACGGCCCGCCAUGAACACUGCACAUCAUCCACCUCUCAUCCUCCCCCUUCCUGUCUCAAGGGCUCAGGGAAGGCCCCUCGGGCUUCCAGAAUGUUCUGUAAGAUGUGAACUCUCUGGGCAGGAUGCGUGCAGCUCACUGGGGACAAGCGGUGACGUCCUGGACAAGCAUCAUGCACCAUCAGGUGGCUCCUGCAGGUCAGUCUUGUCCUGAGGUCUGGGGAAUCUUACACUGAGUCUGAUGUGCUUCUUGGGGGGCCACACAUUUGUUGGUUGACUUUCUAAAAUCUCAAAAUCUUGGCUGUGAGAUGGUUUCUAGCUGGAGGAUGUGCUUAGUUCUGAGAAUGACCUAUGCGCUGACCUGAUGGUUCCAGUUUGUUUCUCAGAUGACAUUGUGUGGAAUCUCUUCUUUUUCUCCCCAAACAUGAUCUUAACCAAAGCAUCCUUGUAUAAAAACAGACGAAAGCGAGUUUGCUUGUGGUGGGUUCGAAGGACACAAGCUCCCCAUCGCCCCUGCCCGCAGACAGUCUCAAGGAUCAGAACAAUCCUUGGUCAAAUGAAAAUGGUCAAUUGCCCAGCCUGUCUGUGGUCCACCACAGUCCCCUUGAUCCUGCCGCAGUGAGUAGACAUCACAGACGGACACACACAGAGGCAGCAGUGACUCUCGGGACCGUGUUGCUAGCAAAAGAAGCAGCACGCCGAAAACUGUAUACGAGUGCCUUCCAUGGAUGUGAAAUUCCAGAACAGGCAAAACAAAUCCAUGGUGGCCGAAGCAAAUCAGUCAUUGCUUCGAAGGGCGGAUGGAGAC